GGUGCCCUGAAGGUGUUGAUUCUUUAGUUUUUGUUAAUCAUGUAUUUUACUGUAAUCAAUGAAUUAAUGAUUGAAUUGAUACAAAUGUAGAAAUGAAUGAAAAGAAAGUGGGUCUUCUAUCUACCUAUGAUAAUGACUCGUGGCAGAUGAGUUUUGGAUGAUGAAUACUAUUUAUUGAGAAUGUUGAGGUCUAAUUCACUAUAUAGUCUUUCUCUCUGUUUAUUUGAUCCUAUGGACAGAUGUUUGGAAAGCACAAAGAUAAUGGUUUUACUGGGUUCAUAGAUUUAGAUUUAUUAUUACAAAUGGAUCAAGGAUAGAACCAUUGAAGAAUAUGAAUAUCAGAUAAAUAUAAAAUCGUAAAGAAUUGUCCAACUGUGAAGACCUGUGUUUAGGCAAGAAAUAUUAAUAAAAAUUGUAAACACUGACACCCAUCAAGAAUUAAAUGUAUCAAGAGUGUCACUUCUUUAGUCAAUGAUCAUUUAGACAUGAACAAUUAAGAGUCAAUUUUAUUGUUCUGGGUCAAUCUUAAGUUUGAGGAUCUUUGUUAUUGUUGUUAAAAGAAAAAAAUCAAUGUUAUGAAAUAUUCAUAGAUAUCUAAAUGAGUAAAUGAAAUGUGGAAAGCAAGGAUCAAUGGAAAUAAAAGCUUUAUUCUAUUUUUUUUAUCAUCGACUGUGCUUUUCAUGUUUCAAAAUGGACACAUUUGAGCUGAUUUAAGCAUAUUCCAUGGUGGCGAGCUCAGUGGUUGCAUUUCUGUGUUAGAAGCACAGAGAACAAUAAUGGACACACUUGAGCUGAUUUAACAUCUUCCAUUAUCCUGAGUUCUAUGGUUGCCUCUAUAAUAGGAGGAUGGGGGAUUGGUGAUGGACAAGCUAGACCUGCUUUAAGGAUUCUCCCCUGAUCAAGAGCCUUAGGGUUGUAUUUUUGUAUUGGGAAGACAGGAGACAAAUAAUGGACAAACUCCAGCUGAUUGUAACAUUCUUCCAAGGUCAUGAGCCCUCUGGUUGCAUCUAUGUUGGAGGAGCAUGGAGACCCCAAUGGAUGCACUGGAACUGAUUAAAGCAUCUUCUAUGGUCGUGAGCUCCUGGUUGCCUCUGUAUAAGAAGAGGACAGAGGUUAAUAAUGGAUGCACUUGGGCUGAUCUCAUACCUUUAUGGGCGUGAGCUCUGUGGUUCCCUCUAUGUAAUUGGAAGAUGC